rnacentral:rRNA from 1 species
UACGGAGGGUGCGAGCGUUGUCCGGAAUCACUGGGCGUAAAGAGCGUGUAGGCGGCCAUACAGGUCCGUUGUGAAAACUGGAGGCUUAACCUCCAGACGUCGAUGGAAACCGUAUGGCUAGAGUCCGGAAGAGGAGAGUGGAAUUCCUGGUGUAGCGGUGAAAUGCGCAGAUAUCAGGAAGAACACCCGUGGCGAAGGCGGCUCUCUGGGACGGUACUGACGCUGAGACGCGAAAGCGUGGGGAGCGAACAGG